rnacentral:precursor_RNA from 13 species
GUCCGGCAUGGGGUGGUGGGACGGGGCAAGAAGGCAGUGGCACAGACAGGGAGCUGAAGGUGGCUGAUUCCCCUGCCUGCCACUGCCACCUUGCCCUGGGCCCGGUGUCUCCCAGUCAAUC